ACGUUGUCCUUUGUGUACACGUGAGUGACGUGUUUGUUUUCUUGUUGCGUUAGUGGGAAAAUUGACGAAUCGAACUGGUACGUUGCAAGCUGGGAAUUUGUUGACAAACAAAAGGAUACUUCGCGACAUUCCGAGAAAAGGUUUUUCCUUGUGUGGUUUUCAAGAAAGUUCAUCAAUCAAUAUGUUGCCGCAACAGUACUGUCUACGAUGGAGGUACCAUCACAGCAACUUGCAAACAAUGUUUUCACAACUCCUUGAUAGAGGUUGUUUCUGCGAUGUGACCUUAGCAUGUGAAGGGCAAAUUAUCCGCGCCCACCGAGUUGUUCUGUGCGCUUGUAGUACCUACUUUGACUCGAUGCUCACAAACUACUCUAUUGAAAAGGAUACCAUCAUUAUAAUGAAAGAUGCCAAAUUCUCAGACGUGAAAUACUUAAUUGAAUUCAUGUACAAAGGGGAGAUUAAUGUAGAACAUGAAAACUUGGCAUCUCUUUUGAAAACAGCAGAGGAGUUGAAAAUCAAGGGACUUGCGGAGGUGUCAUGGCGUGAGGAUGAUGGGGAACCGCCCAUUCCCGAAACUGAACAUAACAUUCCAGAGAGAAUUGAGCAGACUCCAACCAUAAAUGAGGAAAUUGUGAUGCCACGAAUGCCAGUAUUAACACCAAUACCCUCGCCAAACAAUGCGGACUCGCAUGCGGUUGGUGUCAAUCCAAAACGAAAACGAGGUAGACCACCUUUAGAUGAGGAAUACGAUGUUUACAGCACACCGCAGUUGCCACAAAUAGUUGAAAACGCAACAACGCCAUCUACCCAAGCAAAUGACAAUGUAAACGCGUUGGAUUCAACUCAAUCACCUUCUAUGGAUGAAUCGUCGCAAUGUGAACCAAGUGUCUCAAUACAUACGGACAGCAGGGACAAACCUGAGGAUUGGAUCAAAGACGAAUUAGAUGCCGACAUGGAUUCCCCGUCAGAUGAUAUCAAAGAAGAGGAAGACAGUCCGGACGAACAUGGUUCAACAUCGAAUUUCCUUUUAACCCCUCAAGAGCAAGAAGAAUGGAGAGACGUUGUAAAAAUGGAUACAUAUUUAGCAAAAGGACGAAGACCUCAAUUUUGGGAGGAACCAUUCACGAAACGAGUUAUGGAAGCAAUUAAAACAAAAGAAUUGGAAAUGAAGAAAGCUGCACAACUACUAGGAGUGUCAUACGGUACAUUGUACGGGCGAUAUCGUGAAACCUAUGGUUGCCUCAAACAUCCAUACAGUUUUUUCUUGUAGAACAUUAUUACAAUAUCGAGGUGUUUUGUCAGAAAAGGGGAAAAUGCGAACAAAAGUAGAUUCAAACUUCCAACUAGGUUCCGAUUUGGACAGCCAAUGAUGGCAGAAUUGAUUAACUGAGC
rnacentral:misc_RNA from 1 species